AGUGAACGCUGGCGGUAGGCCUAACACAUGCAAGUCGAACGGCAGCACAGUAAGAGCUUGCUCUUACGGGUGGCGAGUGGCGGACGGGUGAGGAAUACAUCGGAAUCUACUUUUUCGUGGGGGAUAACGUAGGGAAACUUACGCCAAUACCACAUACGACCUACGGGUGAAAGCAGGGGAUCUUCGGACCUUGCGCGAUUGAAUGAGCCGAUGUCGGAUUAGCUAGUUGGCGGGGUAAAGGCCCACCAAGGCGACGAUCCGUAGCUGGUCUGAGAGGAUGAUCAGCCACACUGGAACUGAGACACGGUCCAGACUCCUACGGGAGGCAGCAGUGGGGAAUAUUGGACAAUGGGCGCAAGCCUGAUCCAGCCAUACCGCGUGGGUGAAGAAGGCCUUCGGGUUGUAAAGCCCUUUUGUUGGGAAAGAAAAGCAGCAGGUUAAUACCCCGCUGUUCUGACGGUACCCAAAGAAUAAGCACCGGCUAACUUCGUG
rnacentral:rRNA from 1 species